ACUUUCUCUCCAAGUGACUCCAGUCAGGGCUACCUGGCAGGGAUAAGAAGUGCAGUGGAACCCCUACAUUGUGCAACGAACGGUGAGCACGUCCGAGCACUUCGCUGGUAAAUUUUCACAAGAUGAACACACCAAGGAAACAGCACCAGAUUAUUCCAUCCAUGAUUGCUCAGGCCCUUGACUUGGGUAGAAUAUCAUGGCUGCCGAAGCCUGUGCCAGAGGAAGACAGCCCACAGCAGGAAUCAGACAGCACCACAGAAACAGUCCUGGGCCAAUACCUCCGAGAGCCUGCCCUCAGCCACAGACUUCCUCCAUCUUCCAGUUCCCUCUGUCUCUAAAUUAGGACCACCAGAGAGAAUCCUAAGGUUCAAAAC